GGGAGCGUAGCCAAAAUGGAAAGGCGCUGGACUUUCGAUCCAGAGAUGUGCGGGUUCGAGCCCCGCCGCUCCUA
rnacentral:tRNA from 1 species